UGAGAGUGGAUCGAGCUACCACUGCUGA
rnacentral:piRNA from 1 species